GAAUCGCGAUAGGAAUUGCGAAUUGCAGAAUUCAGUGAAUCAUCGUAACUUUGAACGCAAACUGCGCUCUGGGGUUGACCCAGAGCAUGCCUCCUUGAGUGUCGGUCACAACCUCUUAGUUUACUCUAAGGAGAUGAGAGCGCGCAAGCACUCUCGAAGAUUAGACGCAGACUGACGGUGUAAGCGAUGGUCCCCGCGAAUGGAGAUGAAAGUUUUCACGAGCGCCCACUUGCUGAGCCCAACGUCGGCACAGCUUUGUCUGCUUCGCAGAUGGAGCACCCUUUCCGACCAACGACCUCAAGUGAGGCAAGAUUACCCGCUGAACUUAA
rnacentral:misc_RNA from 1 species